CGCGUCCAUAGAUACAGAACAAAAAGACUGAACGACUGGGUCGCGUCUUUAACAAUCGAAUCGAUAGAACAAACGACCAGCCGGCUUGGGUAGCUACCCUAGAUUUGUGUUGGGACUAUAUCUUAUGGAAGGAUGAAAUAGUAUGAAUAAAUUCAUCAAAAUAACGUUUUUAAUGAAAAUAUGUAAAUCAUUAUUUGAAUAUGUUGGUAACCCAUUGUAUAAAAGUGAUAAUGCCCUCGAAGCCGGUGUUUGGACCUCGAAGCCGGUGUUUGGACUUUGUCUCGGGCCUAACAACACCCGUGCCAAUAUCCUCCAAACACAGGCUUCUCUGGCAUUAUCACUUACAGUAAAUAUACACAUAUGAAGAGUUUAUAUCCAAAACGCUAUAUUACUACAUUUUUCCCAUUUGUGUUUUUUCGUCAGAAAUGGUUGCUUAUGGGUUAUGGGUGUGUAAAAUAUGACUAUCCUCUGAUUUUUUAUUAAUAGAUUCUGGAUGUGUAAGAUUUUUUUGGUUUGUUGCAAACACCAAGUAUCCAUUGUUUAGCUGGAAUGGAAUGUUGGUACUCUGUAUAUUUGACUGUGAUAUGUGGUUCUCACCUAGCUAUCUUAAGAUGAAUGCACUUACUGUAAGUCACUCUGGGUUGACCCUUGUAUUUAUCUCUAUGUACACUCACAAGACUCUACACACUCACGCACACUGAUACUCCAACACACGCACACAAACACACACAUACACUUAAUUUGCAUCCACACACAUAACAUGCACAAACAUUUAUACUGACAGUGGUGGGAAAAGUUUUUGGCUUUUUUCAGUGUUUCCUCUGACACAUUGGUGAGGCUGUCUUCUGGGUUAAGCGGGCAUUGUGUCAAGAAGCAGUGCAGCUUGGCUUGGUUGUAUUUCGGAGGAUGACUUCCCUUCAUCUUCCACCAGCUAGCUGCUACCUAUGGCCCGGCUAGCUGUCUGAAUCUCAUGGGACCCUAUGAUCACUCGGCUAAGAAUGCCUCUCCUUAAUGUCAAUAUGCCUUGUCCAUUACUGUUCUGGUUAGUGUUUAUUGGCUUAUUUCACUGUAGAGCCUCUAGCCCUGCUCAUUAUACCUUAUCCAAACUUUCAGAUCCACCACCCACACAUGCUAUGACAUCUUCAGGUUUCAAUGAUGUUUCUAGAAACAAUAUCUCUCUCAUCAUGACUAAAUGCCUAGGUUUACCUCCACUGUAUUCACAUCCUACCAUAACUUUGUCUGUACAUUAUACCUUGAGGCUAUUUUAUCGCCCCCAGAAACCUGCUCCUUUUACUCUCUAUUCUGGACAUCAUAGACCGCCAAUUCUCGUAGCUUUUAGCCGUACCCUUAUCCUAGUCCUCCUCUGUUCCUCUGGUGAUGUCGAGGUGAAUCCAGGCCCUGCAGUGCCUAGCUCCACUCCUAUUCCCCAGGCGCUCUCUUUUGAUGACUUCUGUAACCGUAAUAGCCUUGGAUUCAUGCAUGUUAACAUUAGAAGCCUUCUCCCUAAGUUUGUUUUAUUCACUGCUUUAGCACACUCUGCCAACCCGGAUGUCCUAGCCGUGUCUGAAUCCUGGCUUAGGAAGUCCACCAAAAACUCUGAAAUCUUCAUCCCUAACUACAACAUUUUCAGACAAGAUAGAACGUCCAAAGGCAGCGGUGUUGCAAUCUACUGCAGAGAUAGCCUGCAGAGUUCUGUCCUACUAUCCAGGUCUGUACCCUAACAAUUUGAACUUCUACUUUUAAAAAUCCAUCUCUCUAAAAACAAGUCUCUCACUGUUGCCGCCUGCUAUAGACCACCCUCUGCCCCCAGCUGUGCUCUGGACACCAUAUGUGAACUGAUUGCCCCCCAUCUAUCUUCAGAGCUCGUGCUGCUAGGUGACGUAAACUGGGACAUGCUUAACACCCCAGCCAUCCUACAAUCUAAGCUUGAUGCCCUCAAUCUCACACAAAUUAUCAAUAAACCUACCAGGUACCACCCCAAAGCCGUAAACACGGGCACCCUCAUAGAUAUCAUCCUAACCAACUUGCCCUCUAAAUACACCUCUGCUGUUUUCAACCAAGAUCUCAGCGAUCACUGCAUCCGUAAUGGGUCAGCGGUCAAAUGACCUCCACUCAUCACUGUCAAACACUCCCUGAAACAUUUCAGCAAGCAAGCCUUUCUAAUCGACCUGCCCCGGGUAUCCUGGAAGGAUAUUGACCUCAUCCCGUCAGUAGAGGAUGCCUGGUUAUUUUUUUUAAAUGCCUUCCUCACCAUCUUAAAUAAGCAUGCCCCAUUCAAUAAAUUUAGAACCAGGAACACAUAUAGCCCUUGGUUCUCUCCAGACCUGACUGCCAUUAACCAACACAAAAACAUCCUGUGGCGUUCAGCAUUAGCAUCGAACAGCCCCCGUGAUAUGCAACUUUUCAAGGAAGUUAGAAACCAAUAUACACAGGCAGUUAGAAAAGCCAAGGCUAGCUUUUUCAAGCAGAAAUUUGCUUCCUGCAACACAAACUCAAAAAAGUUCUGGGACACUGUAAAGUACAUGGAGAAUAAGAGCAGCUCCUCCCAGCUGCCCACUGCACUGAGGAUAGAAAACUCUGUCACCUCCGAUAAAUCCACUAGAAUUGAGAAUUUCAAUAAGCAUUUUUCUACGGCUGGCUAUGCUUUCCAUCUGGCUACCGCUACCGCGAUCAACAGCACUGCACCCCCCACAGCUACUCGCCCAAGCCUUCCCCAUUUCUCCUUCUCCCAAAUCCAGUCAGCUGAUGUUCUGAAAGAGCUGCAAAAUCUGGACCCCUACAAAUCAGCCGGGCGAGACAAUCUGGACCCUUUCUUUCUAAAAUUAUCUGCCGAAAUUGUUGCAACCCCUAUUACUAGCCUGUUCAACCUCUCUUUCGUGUCGUCUGAGAUUUCAUAAGAUUGGAAAGCAGCUGCUGUCAUCCCCCUCUUCAAAGGAGGGGACAGUCUUGACCCAAACUGCUACAGACCUAUAUCUAUCAUACCCUGCCUGUCACGUCCUGACCAAUAUUUAGGUAUUAUUUCUAUUAUAUUUGGUCAGGACGUGGCAGAGGUAUAUUUGUUUUGUAUUAUGGGGUUUUGUGUGUGGUGUAGUGGGGUGGGGUUUGGUAUAGGACGUGGCAGAGGUAUAUUUGUUUUGUAUUAUGGGGUUUUGUGUGUGGUGUAGUGGGGUGUAUUAGUUUGGUAUAGGUUCUAGGUUUGUUUUUCUAUGUGUAGUUUUGGGUGCUGGACUCUCAAUUGGAGGCAGGUGUUUCUAGUUGUCUCUGAUUGGGAGUCCCAUAAGUAGGUGUGUGUUUGUUUGGUUUUCGUGGGUAGUUGUUUUUGCACUGCGUGUUGUGUGCCUGCAAAACUGUUCCUGUCGUGUAUAUUGUUUUCCAGUGGAUGCGUUACUCCUUUUUUGAAUUAAAACAUGAGCAUCCAUAUUCCCGCUGCAGUUUGGUCUAUUCAACACGGCUCUUUUUGUGACACUGCCUUUCUAAGGUCUUCUAAUGCCAAGUCAACAAACAGAUUACCGACCAUUUAGAAUCCCACCGCACCUUCUCCGCUAUGCAAUCUGGUUUCAGAACUGGUCGUGGGUGCACCUCAGCCACGCUCAAGGUCCUAAAUGAUAUCGUAACCGCCAUCGAUAAGAAACAAUACUGUGCUGCCGUAUUCAUUAACCUGGCCAAGGCUUUCGACUCUGUCAAUCACCACAUCCUCAUUGGCAGACUCAAUAGCCUUGGUUUCUCAAAUGAUUGCCUCGCCUGGUUCACCAAUUACUUAUCUGACAGAGUUCAAUGUGUCAAAUCGGAUGGCCUGUUGUCCGGGCCUCUGGUAGUCUCUAUGGGGGUGCCACAGGGUUCAAUUCUUGGGCCAACUCUUUUCUCUGUAUACAUCAAUGAUGUCGCUCUUGCUGCUGGUGAGUCUCUGAUCCACCUCUACGCAGACGACACCAUUCUGUAUACUUCUGGCCCUUCUU
rnacentral:lncRNA from 1 species